CCCAGGGCUAACGCCCUGGGCUAGAAUCUAUCGCGCCUCCGGCGCU
rfam:Acidobacteria bacterium RIFCSPLOWO2_02_FTLL_61_28 rifcsplowo2_02_scaffold_9119, whole genome shotgun sequence.